UGGGGGAGUAUUGCACAAUGGAGGAAACUCUGAUGCAGCAACGCCGCGUGAGGGAAGAAGGAUUCGGUUUGUAAACCUCUGUCAUUGGUGACGAUAAUGACGGUAGCCAAUGAGGAAGCUCCGGCUAACUACGUGCC
rnacentral:rRNA from 1 species